UCUUCCAUCGUUCUUCUCACCCCCGCCAUUAUCUCCACCACCAUCAUCAUCCUCACCACCAUCAUUAUCACCACCACCACCACCCUUAUCCCCUCGUCAUCUCCCAGAACACCUCGACAUCCAGGACCAGGACCCCCGUCGCCACAUGCCGUACCUGUUCACGUGCGACCUCCCGGCCUCCGUGGAGCACCUCGUACCCGCUGCCGUGUCCCUGGUGUCCGUGCCCUGUGGCCCCACCGCCAACAUCCUUAAGGUCGUGGGCGGCCGAGAGCGAGGAUCAUCUGCUGUCGUCGGCGAGUCGGACGGCAAAAACCCGCCGGUGUGGAACGUGGCCGUCUGUGGCCCCGCCCUGUACUACUACCACUGG